UACGAAGGUCCCUAGCGUUGUUCGGAAUCAUUGGGCGUAAAGCGUGCGUAGGUGGCUUUGUAAGUCAGGUGUGAAAGCCCGGGGCUCAACCCCGGAAGUGCACUUGAAACUGCAAAGCUUGAGUACGGAAGAGGUGAGUGGAAUUCCUGGUGUAGUGGUGAAAUACGUAGAUAUCAGGAGGAACAUCGGUGGCGAAGGCGGCUCACUGGUCCAGUACUGACACUGAGGCACGAAAGCAUGGGGAUCAAACAGG
rnacentral:rRNA from 2 species